rnacentral:rRNA from 1 species
AUUGAACGCUGGCGGCAGGCCUAACACAUGCAAGUCGAGCGGAUGAAGGGAGCUUGCUCCUGGAUUCAGCGGCGGACGGGUGAGUAAUGCCUAGGAAUCUGCCUGGUAGUGUGGGAUAACGUCCGGAAACGGGCGCUAAUACCGCAUACGUCCUGAGGGAGAAAGUGGGGGAUCUUCGGACCUCACGCUAUCAGAUGAGCCUAGGUCGGAUUAGCUAGUUGGUGGGGUAAAGGCCUACCAAGGCGACGAUCCGUAACUGGUCUGAGAGGAUGAUCAGUCACACUGGAACUGAGACACGGUCCCGACUCCUACGGGAGGCAGCAGUGGGGAAUAUUGGACAAUGGGCGCAAGCCUGAUCCAGCCAUGCCGCGUGUGUGAAGAAGGUCUUCGGAUUGUAAAGCACUUUAAGUUGGGAGGAAGGGCAGUAAGUUAAUACCUUGCUGUUUUGACGUUACCAACAGAAUAAGCACCGGCUAACUUCGUG